rnacentral:misc_RNA from 1 species
UUAUUAAAAUAUAAAAAUUAAAUAGUAAUUUUUCUUUUAAAACAACAUAUUUUAUAUAGAUACUUGGUUUAUUUUUCUAUUCAUAUUUAAUCAUGACCGAUGCAUAUUAAGUAUGUUCAGUUCCGCUUCAUUACAAUUUUAGCUAAGAAUCAGAACUGGAACCUAACCUUCCUUUGAAUUUUAGGAAUCAAACUUAGAAUUAAAUUUUGAUUUUAAUUCUAAUUCAGUUCUAAAUAAUUUUAGUAUAAUUCCAAUUUUAG